UAGGAGGUCUGCUCUCAUGCAUCUCGUCUUUCUACCCGUUUUGCCUCCUCCCUGUCGCUGUACUCAGAGGACUGAGGUUUUAUCGAGAGAUUUAAUGCGGGAUGAGAAGAGGGUCGAUGAGGUGGGCGGGGAAAGCGGACCACGUGGGAGGGCUCCCUCGGGCACUCGUCUUCUUGGCCGUGGGGGCCUUCGCCAAGGUCGUCGCGACCCUUUCCAACUCAAGCUCCGUUCACAACCCCGAAACCCUAAUCCGCCUUGUCCGUUCCCGCCCCCCCGGCCGGCCCCUCAUCACCGUCAGCAAUCACAUGUCCACGUUGGAUGACCCACUUAUGUGGGGUUUUAAGGGUUUUCCAACGGCAGAUGCUAAACUAGCUCGGUGGGUUCUAGCAGCAGAAGAUAUAUGCUUCAAAAAUGUGAUUCUAUCAUACAUAUUUCGACUUGGAAAAUGCAUACCUAUAACCAGGGGAGGUGGCAUAUAUCAGGCACAUAUGAAUGAAGCUCUUGAAGUACUGAGCGGUGGAGGCUGGUUGCACACGUUUCCAGAAGGAAAAGUGUCCCAGGAAAAUGCACCCAUAAGACGUUUGAAGUGGGGAACUGCGAGUCUUAUUGUACGUGCACCUGUAACCCCCCUUGUUUUGCCGAUUGUUCACUGUGGUUUCGAAAAGUUGCCUGGAGGAGCGGAUUCUGCUGUGGGUGAGGGGAAGUCGAUUUCUCAGGCCACCAAAAAGAAAAAUGAAAAAUAAGAAAAGGAAGAAGCAGCAUAGGGAAGUGGAUUUCUCAAGAAACCAAAAAGAGAAGAAUAAAAAAAGAAGAAGAAGCAUAGGAAAGAUUUAGGAAGUGUGUGUGGGAGCAAGUUUCAAGAGAGAUUCAGAAACAGAUAUAACCCUCUAAAUAGAAAUUUUCUGCUGCUGAGGGGUCUUUUGACAUUUAUAUUGAUUGCUAUACAGAUUUAAUACUACUGGGCAUUGAUAUGAGAAAUUCCUGAUGGAUAAUCACCAUGUCAAAGGCAAUCUAGCAGUGUUAGUCUCCCAUUCUUGUCACCAUACUCGUCAUUAUAGCAGGUGAUGCCUGAGAAAUAUUUUUUUGGAAGAAGGCCACCAGUCCCUCUUUGGAAUAAAGACAUCAAAAUCGUUAUUGGAGAACCAAUUGAAUUUGAUCUCCAGAGAUUGAAGCAGACAGCCAAAACAGUUUCUCGAGACUCAUCUAUUCAUAGUCUUGGAUGGCCCAGCACUACGGAUGGACUUGAUGAGGCAGCACAAAAAUGGCUUUACAUUUACAUUUCUGAUCAGAUCCGAACCAUCUUGGAGAGAUUGCGUAUCUUUGGUGCCACCUUCAAGAGAUUUAAGGUGUGAUAUAAUACACCUUUUCCUUCUGAUUGAUUGUUCUUAUAGCUUACGUGGCGACGAAAUUUUAGGAGCAUCCCCUUUUUCAUGCAUAUAUUUGAUUUUACAAUUUCUUUGCUACAUGUGCCCUAUGAAAAGGCUCUAUUAUUUUUUAUCCCUGAGAGGUAGCACUCUAUUUCUGAGAGUCUCCAGUGAUUAAUGAUCGUUUGGAGCUGCUUAAAAACAAAGACAAACCGUUCUUAUCCCUC